CUGUCACUCACUUGGAAAGUGCAUGGAUGUCUGGAUGCUGCAUCAUGGUACCUACAUCAAUGUACUAAAUAAGCUACUACUGACAAGAAGUCAGUGCAGAAACAGUUAUGGGAAGCUGAUACUGUAUACCUGACCAUGUGAUGUUCCUGUGGGACCUGUCAGCUAUCCUGUGUACCUGUCCAUAUUCCAGGAGGACCUGUCUGUGUACCUGUCCAUAUUCCGGGAGGACCCUUCUGUGUUCCUGUGGGACCGUCCAUAUUCCAGGAGGAUCUGUCUGUGUUCCUGUGAGUGUACCUCAAGAGAACAUCGGACUUUGACUGCUGCAGUCCAGUCUCCGGGGUCACAUCUUGAACACAGAGAAACAAAAGUCAGUGAAUGGACAGCAGCUAAGAACUAAUGCCUACAACAACAUACUGUAUCUAUCUCCUCUUUUCAGCAGAAUUUACACAAAGCUUACCAAACUGUACAACCAAUACAUAAUACAUUUUAGUGUUGACAAACAUUGAAGCCAGGCCUGUCUAUAGGACGAGGAAAAAAAA